GACGGUACUUGAGGAAUAAGCAUCGGCUAACUCCGUGCCCAGCAGCCGCGGUAAUACGGGGGAUGCAAGCGUUAUCCGGAAUCAUUGGGCGUAAAGCGCCUGUAGGUUGUUUAAUAAGUCUGUUGUUAAAGACUAGGGCUCAACCCUAGAAAAGCAAUGGAAACUACUAGACUUAGAGUAUGGCAGGGGUAGAGGGAAUUUCUAGUGUAGCGGUGAAAUGCGUAGAUAUUAGAAAGAACACCAGUGGCGAAAGCGCUCUACUGGACCAUUACUGACACUCAGAGGCGAAAGCUAGGGUAGCAAAAGGGAUUAGAUACCCCUGUAGUCCUAGCCGUAAACGAUGGAUACUACAUGUUGUAUUUAUUUUACAGUAUGGUAGCUAACGCGUUAAGUAUCCCGCCUGGGGAGUACGCUCGCAAGGGUGAAACUCAAAGGAAUUGACGGGGGCCCGCACAAGCGGUGGAGCAUGUGGUUUAAUUCGAUGCAACGCGAAGAACCUUACCAGGGCUUGACAUACUGCGAAUCUUUUUGAAAGAAGAGAGUGCCUUCGGGAAUGCAGAUACAGGUGGUGCAUGGCUGUCGUCAGCUCGUGUCGUGAGAUGUUGGGUUAAGUCCCGCAACGAGCGCAACCCUUGUUUUUAGUUACCAACUUGUCGGGUUUUCUAGAAAGACUGCCGGUGACAAACCGGAGGAAGGUGAGGAUGACGUCAAGUCAGCAUGCCCCUUAUGUCCUGGGCUACACACGUGCUACAAUGGCUAGGACAAAGAGUUGCGAGUUCGCGAGAACCAGCUAAUCUCAUAAACCUAGCCUAAGUUCAGAUUGUAGGCUGCAACUCGCCUACAUGAAGUUGGAAUCGCUAGUAAUCGCUGGUCAGCCAUACAGCGGUGAAUCCGUUCCCGGGCCUUGUACACACCGCCCGUCACACCAUGGGAGCUGGUCAUACCCGAAACCGUUAGCUUAACCAUUCGGAGAGCGACGUCUAAGGUAGGGCUAGUGACUGGGGUG
rnacentral:rRNA from 1 species